AAUGGGCGCAAGCCUGAUCCAGCGAUGCCGCGUGGAUGAUGAAGGCCCUAGGGUUGUAAAGUCCUUUCGAUGGUGAAGAUAAUGACGGUAACCAUUAAAGAAGCCCCGGCUAAUUUCGUGCCAGCAGCCGCGGUAAUACGAAAGGGGCAAGCGUUGAUCGGAAUUACUGGGCGUAAAGCGCGCGUAGGCGGCAUGCCAAGUUGGGGGUGAAAUCCCGGGGCUCAACCCCGGAACUGCCCCCAAAACUGGCAAGCUAGAGGCCGGGAGAGGAGAGUGGAAUUCCCAGUGUAGAGGUGAAAUUCGUAGAUAUUGGGAAGAACACCAGUGGCGAAGGCGGCUGUCUGGCACGGUCCUGACGCUGAGGUGCGAAAGCGUGGGGAGCAAACAGGAUU
rnacentral:rRNA from 1 species